rnacentral:rRNA from 1 species
AUUGAACGCUGGCGGCAUGCUUUACACAUGCAAGUCGAACGGUAACAGGCCUUCGGGUGCUGACGAGUGGCGAACGGGUGAGUAAUGCAUCGGAACGUACCCAGAGGUGGGGGAUAACGCAGCGAAAGCUGUGCUAAUACCGCAUGUGAUCUGAGGUUGAAAGCGGGGGACCGAGCAGCAAUGUUUGGCCUCGCGCCUUUGGAGCGGCCGAUGUCGGAUUAGCUAGUUGGUGGGGUAAAGGCCUACCAAGGCGACGAUCCGUAGCUGGACUGAGAGGACGACCAGCCACACUGGGACUGAGACACGGCCCAGACUCCUACGGGAGGCAGCAGUGGGGAAUUUUGGACAAUGGGCGCAAGCCUGAUCCAGCAAUGCCGCGUGAGGGAAGAAGGCCUUCGGGUUGUAAACCGCUUUUGGCAGGAACGAAACGGUGUCCGCUAAUACCGGGCGCUAAUGACGGUACCUGCAGAAUAAGCACCGGCUAACUACGUG